UGGGGAAUAUUGCACAAUGGGGGAAACCCUGAUGCAGCGACGCCGCGUGAGCGAAGAAGGUUUUCGAAUCGUAAAGCUCUGUCCUAUGAGAAGAUAAUGACGGUAUCAUAGGAGGAAGCCCCGGCUAAAUACGUGCCAGCAGCCGCGGUAAUACGUAUGGGGCGAGCGUUGUCCGGAAUUAUUGGGCGUAAAGGGUACGUAGGCGGUUUUUUAAGUCAGGUGUCAAAGCGUGGAGCUUAACUCCAUUAAGCACUUGAAACUGAAAGACUUGAGUGAAGGAGAGGAAAGUGGAAUUCCUAGUGUAGCGGUGAAAUGCGUAAAUAUUAGGAGGAAUACCGGUGGCGAAGGCAACUUUCUGGAACUUUACUGACGCUCAGGUACGAAAGCGUGGGGAGCAAACAGG
rnacentral:rRNA from 1 species